GGAGGCGUACUUUAAAGAGAAGAGUUGGUUUGCAUCCAGCCAGUAGAACUUGUGUCUCGUUUCCA
rnacentral:tRNA from 1 species